CCUACGGGAGGCAGCAGUGAGGAAUAUUGGUCAAUGGGCGAGAGCCUGAACCAGCCAAGUAGCGUGAGGGAGUACUGCCCUAUGGGUUGUAAACCUCUUUUGUCGGGGAGCAAAAGCCGGACGUGUCCGGCUGUGAGAGUACCCGAAGAAAAAGCAUCGGCUAACUCCGUGCCAGCAGCCGCGGUAAUACGGAGGAUGCGAGCGUUAUCCGGAUUUAUUGGGGUUAAAGGGUGCGCAGGCGGAUUUUUAAGUCAGCGGUCAAAUCGUGGGGCUCAACCCCAUCCAGCCGUGGAAACUGGGGAUCUAGAGUGUGCGAGAGGUAUGCGGAAUGCGUGGUGUAGCGGUGAAAUGCAUAGAUAUCACGCAGAACCCCGAUUGCGAAGGCAGCAUACCGGUGCACAACUGACGCUCAGGCACGAAAGCGUGGGUAUCGAACAGGAUUAGAUACCCUUGUAGUC
rnacentral:rRNA from 1 species